rnacentral:rRNA from 2 species
UGGGCCUAAAGCAUCCGUAGCCGGCUGUUCAAGUUUCCGGUUAAAUCCACACGCUUAACGUAUGGGCUGCCGGAAAUACUGUUCAGCUAGGGAGUGGGAGAGGUGGACGGUACUCGGUAGGAAGGGGUAAAAUCCUUUGAUCUAUUGAUGACCACCUGUGGCGAAGGCGGUCCACCAGAACACGUUCGACGGUGAGGGAUGAAAGCUGGGGGAGCAAACCGGAUUAGAUACCCGGGUAGUCCCAGCUGUAAACGAUGCAGACUCGGUGAUGCAUUGGCUUGUGGCCAGUGCAGUGCCGCAGGGAAGCCGUUAAGUUUGCCGCCUGGGAAGUACGUACGCAAGUAUGAAACUUAAAGGAAUUGGCGGGGGAGCACA